UGGUAAUGCCGGAUGCUCCAGUUGAUCGCAUGGUCUUCUGGGAAAGCUUUCGCGGUAUGGGAUGGGGUCGCGUCCUAUCAGCUUGACGGCGGGGUAACGGCCCACCGUGGCUUCGACGGGUAGCCGGCCUGAGAGGGCGACCGGCCACAUUGGGACUGAGAUACGGCCCAGACUCCUACGGGAGGCAGCAGUGGGGAAUAUUGCACAAUGGGCGCAAGCCUGAUGCAGCGACGCCGCGUGAGGGAUGGAGGCCUUCGGGUUGUAAACCUCUUUUAUCGGGGAGCAAGCGAGAGUGAGUUUACCCGUUGAAUAAGCACCGGCUAACUACGUGCCAGCAGCCGCGGUAAUACGUAGGGUGCAAGCGUUAUCCGGAAUUAUUGGGCGUAAAGGGCUCGUAGGCGGUUCGUCGCGUCCGGUGUGAAAGUCCAUCGCUUAACGGUGGAUCCGCGCCGGGUACGGGCGGGCUUGAGUGCGGUAGGGGAGACUGGAAUUCCCGGUGUAACGGUGGAAUGUGUAGAUAUCGGAAAAAAAACACCA
rnacentral:rRNA from 1 species